rnacentral:lncRNA from 1 species
CUGUCACGCCCCGCCCCGAAUCCACUACCAAUUUGGCACGGUUCGGGCACAUCAGACGGACCGCCGAACAGACAGUACCUCUCCUGUCCGCCCAAGGCCAAGCAACCAGAUCAUGUACAAUUAAGCACCCAGGAAUUUGCUUAAAUAACAUACAUGAUCAAAUACGAUGCACACAAGUGCAAUACAUCUAAGAGCAAGAACCACAAGUGAUAUACAAGUGUAUAAAGAGAGAUAGUCUAACUAUCACAAUCAUUCAACAUUUACAUUAUUUGAAUAUAUUAUAUUUUCAUCUUCCAAAAUGUAAGUACAUGUUUUCUUCAAAAUACAAGUAGCUCUCUGAUAUCUAUCCAAAAUAUCAACUAGUACACGAGGGUACUCUAAUGCAUAAGGAAAAGCUACUAACUAGGCUCACUUAGGGCGCUAUGCCCUUGCCGCGGUCCUCGCUCGGCUCGCCUCUAUGUGUACCUGUACCCCAAAACCACACGGGGUGAGAACUAUAUAAAUAUAGUUCCCAGUGGGUUCGGCCGCCGACGCCGCCGGUUUUCCCACUAGGUCUAAGCUGGCACAGAUAGAGAGAUAGAUAGAUAGAUAAAAGUAAACUGCGACUACUCUAUCAUGCCAUCAACGAUGAUAAUGCAUGCAACAACUACUAUCAUGCGAGAAUCAUGUCAUGAGUAUAGAAAAGUACAUAGUAAUGCAAUCUACAACAUACACUAUGUCUACUCGAGGUAAUGCAUGAACAUAGCAAUGAUAUUCUACUAAUCAUGAUACUAUGCUUCAACAAUAAUGGAAAUGAGCUACUACAUAGUGAUGUAUCUACAACAUGCUACUAUGUCUCAAUGUCAACUCAAGGUAUGAAUGCAAAUCUGCUAUGCCAUUCAUAUUCUUUACCCAAUCUGCUUGGAAAUGAGCUACUACAUAGUGAUGUAUCUGCACAUGCUACUAUGCCUCAAUAAUCCAAAUGAACGAGCUACACAGUGCGUCGUGCAACUAUGCCUCGGUAGUAUCCAAUCUCAUGGCCAACCCGAAGGUUGCCACCCCGGGGUCAACCCCGACUCACUCUCAAUCUCAUAGGUGAGGAGAAACUGCACUCGCACACCGAGACCGUCUGCGGGACAACUACGUCUGCCCCUAGUGAAGUACUCCGGAGACUCGUGCCUCGGUGGAGCGACCACCGACAAGCAAAAACAGACUAGUGAGUAUGAUCCAAUCCUCACAAGAGGAUACCCUAUCUACAAGGGUCAACGUGCCUCUGCUGCACAAUGUACAAUGCAUCCUAGAUGCCGGGAUCUCUACUAUCCCUAAGUACAUGUCGAGUUUACUACACUAGACUCAAUGCCACUCGUUUAGUCAUUGUAGUAAAUGUCUCAAUUAUUCUACAUGUUAUUUGUUCAUGUCAUAGUGUCUCUCCUACACUAGUUCAAUGCCACUCUACUAGGCUAUGUCCAAAUUCAUCACUUUUGCCACUAUAGGAUUCUUUGUCUCAAGACCCAAUCCUCAUGCCUCCCUAGUCCAAGUGUUAGGUCCAUACCGCUACACUACUAAGUAAGCAUGCAAGGAAUGGAAAUAUACUUUACUAAUCCUAUAAUGCUCAAUCAAUAUAUGAUGAAUAAAAUUAACUUAGGCAUAAAAGGAAACCCGGAUGUUUCGGGAUGACACCCCCCACCUUUUACCGCUAUCACGAGGCUAGGUUCUCAAUUGCACGUUCCCUAGUCGCCGCUUUACUCUUCGGUCGCACCUGCUCGACGAAUCGACGAACCGACGCUUCACACGCGUUUAGGCACCUCAAACACAAGCUUUUCCUCAAACCAAGUAAUGAAGAGGAUGAAGACUUCACCUCCAAGCAACCUUUUUCUUCUCCAAAUGCACCUCCAAUUCCUCUCUUUGGUGGAGAAAUUGUUAGAGAGAGAGAGAUAUUUCUCUUUGGUUGCAAGUGUGAGGGAGAAAGAAAGAAAAUGCUCAAGUCCCCUAUAUAUAUAUAUAGGAAACUUGGCCUCCAAGUUUCAUAGGAAACUUGGUCUCCAAGUGUCAUAGGAAACUUAGCCUCCAAGUUUCAUAGGAAACUUGGCCUCCAAGUUAUCUAGGAAACUUGGCCUCCAAGUUAUCCAAGAACACUAUUCACAUUCAGUUUAGCAGCACGGUACAGAUAUUUUUCGUCUGCCCUGUCUCUCACAGAAAAUUCUAAAUCUUCUGUUUUCGCUUCCAUUUCAACACGGGUCACUCUAGACUUAUAAUUUAUGUCUAUAAGUCCAAUAAAAAUAGUAUCCCACACUAUUUUUAUUUAUUUCCACUUUUACAUUUAAAAUCCGGUACCUUACAUCCUCCCCUCCUUAAAAGGAGUUUCGUCCUCGAAACUCAAAUCUCAUCUCAAUUCGAGUUUUCGAGCAUCUGAAGGUAACAAUGCACUUUUGCACUCCGGAGUGGCCUUUUUCUUAUCGGAACUAUCCAAAGGCCCACUACAGAGGAUAUGAGACCAAAUUCACUCACAUUUGCUAAGCACAACACCAAAAGUGCAUUACGGUUCCGCAAGUCUUGGUGGCAGCGUAAGUCGACACUCGACAACUCUACACGCUCCAACACUACUUGCGACCGAAUCUAGGGAAUAUACUUCGAUUCGAUCACUGGCAUUGCCUAGAAGCAAUAUCAUUGGUGCAUCGACCCAUCGCAAGUGCCACUAUCACAAUCGAAUUUGCUUUACUACGAGAUGGCACCCUUCGGCACAUCUCCAAUGUUAAUCCUCCAGAGAGCAUAUUCUCAGAUCUCGUGUGGCAAUCCAAUAUCCAAGUGUCUCCAAGAGACCACUUUACUUUCUCUUUCCAUUGCCGCGGCUGAUAUCAAUUCGUUCCUGCAAUGAAUUCACAUGAACACUUUGUUCGCGAAUCCGAGCCAAACUCCUCGACAGAGUCACCGGCCAAACCGCUCACCUUGGCUUUCCAUGGGUGGACCAAAGGUCACCAACCAUACGUAGAUCUGCCGCCCAAACCUAUCUCAACACGUAGCGUCUCUCGCUCGCAAGCGUGGACCCAAUCAACACUACUGGGCGAAAUUCUCACUUGGGAAUUCGCACACACUCCGACUAGGAGCAACUAUGACCCCAAACCACGUCAGGUCCUCGGGUUGGGUUACUGCACACUCGGUGUGUCAUCGAUCUCGUAAUCCACACGUGGCAUUCCACGCUCCCGGGUCUAUGCUCGGACUACCACCCUGACCAAAACUCUGCCCUACCCGUAGGUACCGGGCCGCUGCCACUCGCAGCCGACUGUGCCUACCCAAUGGGCCCAGGCUUCACAGUCCACAAAUGGUCCAGGCACGGGUCGUCCCCAAGCACUACCCGCCGUCGUCAUCCUACACGACAUGUUCUACCGAGUCAGACGUACCACUAUCGUCUCCUAAGCACCUAGUGCGAGCCAUCAGCCCCACGAGUGACCCAUGGCCUGCUUCACACUUAGCAAUGCUACAGUGCUACUGCCAUCUCACUCCUCCGGCUGAAUAAAAUCCGCACUCCACGAGUAUUUACACUCGAGCGCUCUACGCCUCUACAGCGUUCCACACGAAAUCUAGCAUUAGGCAAUCUUGCCUAUGCACACCGGCCGCACAAGCACAGCCGCCUACCUCACCUUAAGGUACUACUAGGCCCAUGUGCUCAAACUUGGCCACUAAUCGACCGUCCUCUCAACAAUGACUCUACCUUCAUCGUCCAAUCUACCGGAACAAUAUCCGAAAUUUUCGGAUUACUCGGGUGCCUACAAAUAUCAUGGCUCAACUCUCGCAAUCUACUGAGCAUGUUGCCUUGAGAGUCGCCUCACCAUUUCAGCUACACCACGAGUCUCAUUUCUCGUCCAUAGGCCACUACUAGCAAUUUGCUAGUGACGUCUAGCUUUCUACCUGCUCCAGCAGACGCUAUACUCUCUCACACAAGCAUGCCCGGGUACCCUCACCUACCCGUCCACUGGUCCCUACUAUACUAAUGCAUAAAUAGUAGCAACUGACCAUGAAAAUGCAUGCAAUGCACCAAUUUAACAUCAUGCAGAAACACACAUUUGCUGCAACUAAACCAUACUUGCCAUGGCAUCUUCGACAGCAGCAUGUUCCUCGACUUGAGCGGCAAACACCUGGUCACUCGGAGUCGACUGGGCCACCUCAGGCUGACGAGGUGCCAUCGCGUGUCCAGCUAAAGCAACAGUAGGUGGGGCUCCUCCAUAAUGGCCCGAAAUCGCCAAAGACGAUGCAACAGACGGGACAGGCGAGGUCCUCCUUGGACAGUGGCGGCUAAUGUGCCCCGCCUGACCACACGUGAAGCAUCUUCCCUCUUUUUGCUUGCAAUGGUUCGGGUCAUGUUUACCUCCGCAAAUGACGCACUUCCGAGUCCCACAACUCUGGGACCGUGCUCGCGGAUACUUCGGAGGCUUCUUAGACCAUGACUGACCUCUCGAGCCAUCAGAAGCUCGCUUCUUACCGCCGUCCCUCUUGGACGCCUCUCGCUCCUCGCGGACGUGGGCAUUACUAUGCUCCGCCCGCAACGCUCGAUCAAGCACUUCCGCAAAUGUAGUGAGCUUCAGAAUGUAAACCGCUCUAUAUAUAUCCGGUCGGAGCCCUCUCACGAACCAGUUGGCCCGAUCUCUAUCGUCUCGCACCACGUCGGGGACGCAGUCAAUAAUACGUGAGAACUCCUGCUCGUACUCUUCGACCGAGCGGUUUCUUUGCUCUAACUUUCGGAAUUUAUCCUGGAGCUUCCUUUUCUCACUAUCGGGGAAAAAGUUGACAUAUAACAAGCUCCGAAACCCUUUCCAUAUCAACGGCGGAAGGUCGGGAGACCGAUCUCGCUUGAUCCGCUUCCACCACACCUUCGCCGCCCGCUCCAAGCAAUGAGUGGCGAGGGGAACUUUAUCAUUCUCUAAUAUAUAGAGAUCUUCGAAAAGAGUCUCCAUCGAGUCCACCCACGACUCGACCAUCCAAGGCUCAACCUUCUCCCCGUUGAACAUCGGUGGACUAAACUUCCGAAAUUUCAUAAGAGCCGCAAGCGCGCGGUCCCUCUCCGCUUCCGUAGCUACCUCUUCGGGAUUUGAAGUCCCCGAACCGGUAGCCACCAUCGUCAGUGCGGAUUGCGCCGCAACCGGCACAGCUGCCGUGGCCACACCCUUUGUCACGACGGGCACGACCACCGAAGGCGCGGGCCGCUCAACAUUCGCUUGAGCCGACGCCAGCUGCGCUACCAACUGUUGUAGCCUCGCAAUCUGGUCCUCUUGGCGCUGCAUCGCGCCGACCAUCGAAGCGAUCUGCGCUCGCAAUUCCCGCACUUCUUCAGAUCCCGACUGCUCGGGCACCUCGGGAGGUGGUGCCAGAGUGGAUCUAGUCACGGGGCGUCUCUUUGGUGCCAUAGCACCUGAAACGCAACAACUUGGUUAAUCACCUUAACCCGUUAAUCUCGUCGCAACUACUAGACAACGUGACUCAACUCCGCCAUAAGCGGCAGUACACUAUUGUAUUAGUCCUAACUCUUAGCGUCGUGUUGUCGGCCGCCAACACAAACUCCUCGAGCUCGGAACUAACACCGCUCGGAUCUAUCUCUAGUCACACUAGAGAUCUAUACUCGAUCCGACCCAAUCGGAUUCUUCCUCAACCGAUAUAGGUUUACGUUUCUCUCACGUACUUAUCACCUUAGGGUUGCCAACCUAGGUCUCCUAGGUCCAUCCUAGACUCUCUCUUUACUUGCUCUUAAUCGCUCUGAUACCAUAACUGUCACGCCCCGCCCCGAAUCCACUACCAAUUUGGCACGGUUCGGGCACAUCAGACGGACCGCCGAACGGACAGUACCUCUCCUGUCCGCCCAAGGCCAAGCAACCAGAUCAUGUACAAUUAAGCACCCAGGAAUUUGCUUAAAUAACAUACAUGAUCAAAUACGAUGCACACAAGUGCAAUACAUCUAAGAGCAAGAACCACAAGUGAUAUACAAGUGUAUAAAGAGAGAUAGUCUAACUAUCACAAUCAUUCAACAUUUACAUUAUUUGAAUAUAUUAUAUUUUCAUCUUCCAAAAUGUAAGUACAUGUUUUCUUCAAAAUACAAGUAGCUCUCUGAUAUCUAUCCAAAAUAUCAACUAGUACACGAGGGUACUCUAAUGCAUAAGGAAAAGCUACUAACUAGGCUCACUUAGGGCGCUAUGCCCUUGCCGCGGUCCUCGCUCGGCUCGCCUCUAUGUGUACCUGUACCCCAAAACCACACGGGGUGAGAACUAUAUAAAUAUAGUUCCCAGUGGGUUCGGCCGCCGACGCCGCCGGUUUUCCCACUAGGUCUAAGCUGGCACAGAUAGAGAGAUAGAUAGAUAGAUAAAAGUAAACUGCGACUACUCUAUCAUGCCAUCAACGAUGAUAAUGCAUGCAACAACUACUAUCAUGCGAGAAUCAUGUCAUGAGUAUAGAAAAGUACAUAGUAAUGCAAUCUACAACAUACACUAUGUCUACUCGAGGUAAUGCAUGAACAUAGCAAUGAUAUUCUACUAAUCAUGAUACUAUGCUUCAACAAUAAUGGAAAUGAGCUACUACAUAGUGAUGUAUCUACAACAUGCUACUAUGUCUCAAUGUCAACUCAAGGUAUGAAUGCAAAUCUGCUAUGCCAUUCAUAUUCUUUACCCAAUCUGCUUGGAAAUGAGCUACUACAUAGUGAUGUAUCUGCACAUGCUACUAUGCCUCAAUAAUCCAAAUGAACGAGCUACACAGUGCGUCGUGCAACUAUGCCUCGGUAGUAUCCAAUCUCAUGGCCAACCCGAAGGUUGCCACCCCGGGGUCAACCCCGACUCACUCUCAAUCUCAUAGGUGAGGAGAAACUGCACUCGCACACCGAGACCGUCUGCGGGACAACUACGUCUGCCCCUAGUGAAGUACUCCGGAGACUCGUGCCUCGGUGGAGCGACCACCGACAAGCAAAAACAGACUAGUGAGUAUGAUCCAAUCCUCACAAGAGGAUACCCUAUCUACAAGGGUCAACGUGCCUCUGCUGCACAAUGUACAAUGCAUCCUAGAUGCCGGGAUCUCUACUAUCCCUAAGUACAUGUCGAGUUUACUACACUAGACUCAAUGCCACUCGUUUAGUCAUUGUAGUAAAUGUCUCAAUUAUUCUACAUGUUAUUUGUUCAUGUCAUAGUGUCUCUCCUACACUAGUUCAAUGCCACUCUACUAGGCUAUGUCCAAAUUCAUCACUUUUGCCACUAUAGGAUUCUUUGUCUCAAGACCCAAUCCUCAUGCCUCCCUAGUCCAAGUGUUAGGUCCAUACCGCUACACUACUAAGUAAGCAUGCAAGGAAUGGAAAUAUACUUUACUAAUCCUAUAAUGCUCAAUCAAUAUAUGAUGAAUAAAAUUAACUUAGGCAUAAAAGGAAACCCGGAUGUUUCGGGAUGACACCCCCCACCUUUUACCGCUAUCACGAGGCUAGGUUCUCAAUUGCACGUUCCCUAGUCGCCGCUUUACUCUUCGGUCGCACCUGCUCGACGAAUCGACGAACCGACGCUUCACACGCGUUUAGGCACCUCAAACACAAGCUUUUCCUCAAACCAAGUAAUGAAGAGGAUGAAGACUUCACCUCCAAGCAACCUUUUUCUUCUCCAAAUGCACCUCCAAUUCCUCUCUUUGGUGGAGAAAUUGUUAGAGAGAGAGAGAUAUUUCUCUUUGGUUGCAAGUGUGAGGGAGAAAGAAAGAAAAUGCUCAAGUCCCCUAUAUAUAUAUAUAGGAAACUUGGCCUCCAAGUUUCAUAGGAAACUUGGUCUCCAAGUGUCAUAGGAAACUUAGCCUCCAAGUUUCAUAGGAAACUUGGCCUCCAAGUUAUCUAGGAAACUUGGCCUCCAAGUUAUCCAAGAACACUAUUCACAUUCAGUUUAGCAGCACGGUACAGAUAUUUUUCGUCUGCCCUGUCUCUCACAGAAAAUUCUAAAUCUUCUGUUUUCGCUUCCAUUUCAACACGGGUCACUCUAGACUUAUAAUUUAUGUCUAUAAGUCCAAUAAAAAUAGUAUCCCACACUAUUUUUAUUUAUUUCCACUUUUAC